rnacentral:ribozyme from 12 species
UAAGGAUUAAAUAAUAGAUAUGAAAUUGACAGUAUUUACAUGAUUUAUUUCUUGUUCCUUUCUAAUAUUUCUUUUUUUUUUUUUUUUCCA